rnacentral:rRNA from 1 species
GAUGAACGCUGGCGGCGUGCCUAACACAUGCAAGUCGAGCGAACAGUCCAGGUGUUUGCUCCCCCGACGUUAUCGGCGGACGGGUGCGUAACAUGUGGAUAACCUACCUACACGACUGGGAUAAUAUUGGGGAACCGGAGCUAAUACCGGAUAAUAUGUUGCCCCGCAUUGGUCCACAGUGAAAGAAGGUCUUUCUGUGACUAAUAGCCGGAUCCGCGCCGCAUGAGCUAGUUGGUACGGUAACGGCUUACCAAGGCAACGAUGCGUAGCCGACCCGAGAGGGUCGUCCCACACCCGGGAACUGAGACACGGUACAGACACCUGCAGGGGGCAGCAGUAGGGAAUCUUACGCAAGGCGCGAAUGCCGAACGGUGCAACGCCGCGUGAAUGAAGAAGGACUUAUGAUCGUAGAACUAUGAUGUUAGGGAAGUAGAAAUGUGUAAGUACCUAUGAACGUAUUGACGGUACCGAGUCAGAAAGCCACGGCUAACUACGUG